GAUUCUCGUGCCUAGGCCUCCCGAGUAGCUGGGAUUACAGGCACCUGAGAAUGAAUAGAGCUCCUCUGCUCUCUCGUUAGCCCCAUCCCAAAGGCUGAGCCUCUACUGUUUGGGAACUAUCAAGAGAAGACACAGCUAUCAAGCCAGGAGCCCUCAUCGAGCCUCAUUCUCAGCCACAUCGUAAGGAUUUAGAGGCCCUAAGCACUGACGACGCUGUGGUGCCACAAAAAUAGACAAGCAGGGCAUGUGCGCUGAAGCUGGAAGAGGCUUCUUCCAUAUUUUCAUUGCAAAAUCAGAACUUUGACCCGCUUUGCAGAUAACCCUGCAUUUUACCGAGAUGUCAAAGCAGGAAGUGCUUGGCUGGAACAUCUGCCGACAGCCUCAUCUCUUUCUGCAAGAUCAUGAUGUUCUGCAUGCUCCUGUGGCCUCUUAUUUCACGUUGCUUUUGCUUUAUUUUUAUUUUUUUCCAUGUUUCCUCCUGGCAAGCUCUCCCUGCAAAUUUUGAAACAACUUUAAAGAUGAAUAAAAAGCAGCUCAGCAAGUGAAUCCCAGAUCCCGGUAAGAGAGUGUCUCCCCCAACUCACAUAGUGAGUGCACAUCAUCCCCAGAACCACCAUGAGAGUGAGCCUGGUAGCGGGUAGCACCCUGCCUGUGACGAAGCCAGCACACUAUGACGAGCAGCAGCUUCUAGACCCAUGGACCACGGGCACUGCCAACGCUCUCCCUCCGGGGACUCCUCCUGCCUCCCAUACAGGGCCAAACUCCGACGCCCACGAGCUCGCUCAGAAUUGGCUCAGGCUGCAAUCACUUCUCUUCUCCUACCUCCACACCAUUCCCUGAUGGUGGACAGCUUCUCCUUUGAGAACCACACCUGCCUUUUCAGACAAAAGGAGACACCACCCACCCUCCUGCUGAGGGCUGCUCCCCUGGGGCCUUCUCAGCACACCUCUCUCUCUCUAGGUCAAAAAACAAAUUUCACAUGCUGAAUUUUUACCUUUUUUAAAGUGACUCCGAAUUUUGGCACCAGCAAUUAAUUCAACACUUGAAUAAGAUUUGAAAACCUCACAACAAAUCACAAAUAUAUUAUGGGUCCU
rnacentral:lncRNA from 1 species